rnacentral:lncRNA from 1 species
AUUUAUCUCCCUUCUCUCUAGAACCUUCUGGUUCACUAAUUCUUCUCUGACGAGCUUCAUCGUCUCUCCGACCAUGCUCCAUCCUCACUUCUCUCGACCUUUACCCACCAUGGGAUCCUGUAGCGUUGCUUCUCUCCAAAGUUUGAAACCCCAGAAGCUUCUACCAUGAAGAUGGUCGCUGAAUCCUCGCCGGGGGUCCGAUUCCGGCCUUUCUCCGAUGAUUUUGGUUCGAUGAUGCUAAAAACACCAUAAUCUUUGAGCUUCACAGCCAGGUUUCUCUUACCCAUCUCACUAGCUUCUUAAGAAAACCCUAAUCGUAACCCAAGCCUCUCAAAUCUCUGAUUUCCUUAAAAAUUUUAACUCACACAUUCAUGUUUUCACUAUUUCUUAUGAUUAUCCC